UACAGAGGGUGGUAGCGUUGUCCGGAAUUAUUGGGCGUAAAGAGCUCGUAGGCGGUCUGUCGCGUCUGCUGUGAAAACUCAGGGCUUAACCCUGAGCUUGCAGUGGGUACGGGCAGACUAGAGUGCGGUAGGGGAGACUGGAAUUCCCGGUGUAGCGGUGAAAUGCGUAGAUAUCAGGAGGAACACCGGUGGCGAAGGCGGUUCUCUGGGCAUUACCUGACGCUGAGGAGCGAAAGCAUGGGGAGCGAACAGG
rnacentral:rRNA from 1 species